GGGUCCUAAAAAAAUUCUGCACUGAAUUGCUCAGCAAAGCAAACAUAAUUACUAAAAGAAUGUCUUCAAGUGGAGUAAUUAUUUGCAAAUUUGUCCAAUAUGAACACAUUAUUUAUCAAAUCGAGAUAAAUGCAAGUGCCUAGACAUUAUUAUGCCUCAAAAGUAAUGAUUUUACCCUAUAGCAUCAAAUUUUAACUAGAUUGUCAACUGUUAGAUUAAAACAUUGCUGCAAACUACAACAUCUAUUCAUGCAACUGUAUGUGGUCAUAUAACUACACUAAAGUGUAACCAUUUUCUUAUUCAUACCUAAUUAGAUACCAGAAAAGAAGUUGAU
rnacentral:misc_RNA from 1 species